GAUGAAGAACGUAGUGAAAUGCGAUAAGUAAUGUGAAUUGCAGAAUUCAGUGAAUCAUCGAGUCUUUGAACGCACAUUGCGCCCCCUGGUAUUCCGGGGGGCAUGCCUGUCCGAGCGUCAUUGCUGCCCUCAAGCACGGCUUGUGUGUUGGGCCUCCGUCCUCCUCCCGGGGGACGGGCCCGAAAGGCAGCGGCGGCACCGCGUCCGGUCCUCGAGCGUAUGGGGCUUCGUCACCCGCUCUUGUAGGCCCGGCCGGCGCUUGCCGACACAUCAAUCUUUUUUCCAGGUUGACCUCGGAUCAGGUAGGGAUACCCGCUGAACUUAAGCAUAUCAAUAAGCGGAGG
rnacentral:misc_RNA from 1 species